CACUGUCAUUAUCUAAAACAAUACAGAUCCCAUCAAGGCAAGUCUGGGAGGGGUUAGAAGACAAAACAUCUGUUGGUUUUGCCCCUAAUAAAAUACAUGCAUGCAUAUUGUGGUAUAUCUACUACCAGGCAUAGGCAAACAUCGGCACUCCACAACAUCUGGAGUGCCAAAGGUUGCCUAUCUCUGUUAUUUUAACUUAUUUGGACAGUGGAGUGUCCCCAUAGCUGACUAAGAGGAUAUUUUAGGUUAGGCUAUUUUGAAACUCCCUUUAAAUUCUCUUUAGUCCCUCCCCCUGAUGUCAGCACAGUACACACAGCUCUCACACAGCCGCCCUGCGACCAGGUAUGUAUGCCACUGUGGCCAGCCUCUUCUCCUGGGGGUCCCAGAAACUGGCCAUCUCAGGGCCCCCCGAGGCUGGCCC